GUACACACCGCCCGUCACACCAUGGGAGUGGGUUGCAAAAGAAGUGGGUAGACUAACCUUCGGGAGGUCGCUCACCACUUUGUGAUUCAUGACUGGGGUGAAGUCGUAACAAGGUAGCCCUAGGGGAACCUGGGGCUGGAUCACCUCCUUA
rnacentral:rRNA from 1 species